AACGAACGCUGGCGGCAGGCUUAACACAUGCAAGUCGAACGCAUCGCAAGAUGAGUGGCAGACGGGUGAGUAACGCGUGGGAACAUACCCUUUUCUACGGAAUAGCUCUGGGAAACUGGAAUUAAUACCGUAUACGCCCUACGGGGGAAAGAUUUAUCGGGGAAGGAUUGGCCCGCGUUGGAUUAGCUAGUUGGUGGGGUAAAGGCCUACCAAGGCGACGAUCCAUAGCUGGUCUGAGAGGAUGAUCAGCCACAUUGGGACUGAGACACGGCCCAAACUCCUACGGGAGGCAGCAGUGGGGAAUAUUGGACAAUGGGCGCUAGCCUGAUCCAGCCAUGCCGCGUGAGUGAUGAAGUCCUUAGGGUUGUAAAGCUCUUUCACCGAUGAAGAUACUGACGGUAGUCGGAGAAGAAGCCCCUGCUAACCUCGUGCCAGCCGCCGCGGUAACAC
rnacentral:rRNA from 1 species